rnacentral:rRNA from 1 species
UACGUAGGGUGCAAGCGUUAAUCGGAAUUACUGGGCGUAAAGCGUGCGCAGGCGGUUUUGUAAGUCUGUCGUGAAAUCCCCGGCUCAACCUGGGAAUUGCGAUGGAGACUGCAAGGCUAGAAUCUGGCAGAGGGGGUAGAAUUCCACGUGUAGCAGUGAAACGCGUAGAGAUGGUGGAGGAACACCAGUGGCGAAGGCGGCCC